GGUGUGAUUUUUCCGACCCUAUCUCGUCUACUCCUGGAGCUAUAAACGGGGCCUCGAGGAGUUUCCCUGGCGGGAAGGUGACCUGCUCUUGUCCCUUUCAUUUUCUCUGAAGUGGACCCUGCGUCCAGACGCAUCUCUAUUCCUGCGCCGCUCACCAGACGAGUCUCUGUCCCUCGACUUGGGCCAAGUAUUGCCCGGUUGAGAAUAUCCGGAUGAGCGGUCUCCUGAAUUUCCGCGGUUUCGACUCUCUCCUCGCUCAUGGCUUUUGUCAUCCCAACGUCGUUCAGAUGAGGAGUUUCGUCCUGAUUAAGAGUAUCUUUGGCCACCGCCAUCUCUAUCAGGUGAAUGUCUCCAACCCCCUUGGGCUUGAUACCUUGUGUAAUUUUUAUUUCCAGACUCCUCAUGCUUGGACCAGCGAUUUUCGCCGUAUCUGUCCGUUCUUUCCCUGUCACCUUCAUAUCUGUGAGAACUCCAAGUAUCAGAAUAAUUGUCUCUCCCUCGACUGUAACUUCUGAACCUCUCUCUAGAGUCUCCUCGCUCACGUGACCGAGAGCGGUUACGACGUCGGCUUCGACGCCGUGCUUCAGGAUCGACCUAAUAGAUCUAAUAUACUUGGACAGUCCUAAAACUCUUUUUAAAUAUCUUGUUUUGACUUUUUCAAGAUUUUCAAAAUCAGUCUUUGUUAGGAAAGGCCAUAUUUCUUCAAUGCCGUAGGACGCAAUUGGGGAAAUUUUUAGAUCAAAUAGCUUGUGUGCUGUUUCAAUGGAUAAUUGUUUUAGUUCUCGUAUAUUAUAAGUGGCCAGCAAUGCAGCUCUUGUUCUUUUUUCAAUGUGCUUUCCAAAAGAGAUUCCUGAUGGUUGAAAAGUAACUCCUAAAUAUGUAAACUCAGCAACUCUCUCUAUUUCAAUUCCACCUAAAUCUAGGCGGUCACUUAAUGCAUAUUUUCCUAGACCCUUAUUUCUAAAUUUCAUGAAUUUGCACUUUUCCAAGUUAAGUUUCAAACUGCGUUUUAACAAAAAUUCUUUCAUUCUGGCUAAAGCAAUUUUCAAGUCACUUAAUUUUUCUGAGGUUAAAACAAUAUCAUCUGCAUAAUAAAUGGCUUUCACGUUUGGCAAAUCUCGUAGAAUAUUAUUUAUAUCAGCUAAAGAGUAAUUGAACAGAAAUGGGGACGUGCAUCCCCCCUGUCUUACCCCAUUUGAUUGUGUAAUAAGUUUUGAUACUGUUACUCCAUCUACUAUUCUCAAGAAAUUUAAGUCUAAGUUGUGAGCUAAAUAAUUUAACUCCGUGAACGUUAGCUUCUUGCUUUCUAUUAACUUCUUAAAAAUAAACGCCCUAUCUAUUGAGUCAAAAGCUUUACUUACAUCCAAAAAUAAGGCAUAUUUAUGUACAUACACAAAAUUUAUGCAUAUUUAUGAUUCAAUAAUAAUUAUUCUUUCUGUGAAACAAAAACAAUUAAGACUUGAUCGAGUUAUGAGGAUUCAAUUAUUUCAAGAUUCUCACGUCAGAACAAGGAUGCAUGUUGAAAACCUGUGGCAUUUCAUCCUCAAAUCUUGGAUUUUACGCAGCCACCAACAAUAAGUUUCAUCCAAGCGGUCGCGAUCAGAUCAUCUGACCUGGUGACCCUUCUCUCUCCCUCUUUUGUGGUUACAUAGCAGAUCACAGAUCUCUUAUUCAAUAAUGUCGCUUUUUGUUUUAUGACACUGGUUUUGACACUUGACACGACUGUUUUGUUGUUGGUUUUGUUGUUUUGUUCGUUUUGUUUACAUUUUUCGACCCCACACGGCGCAAGCUCAAAUUGUACGGAGUGUAUAAGAAGGAGUAGAAAAUAUCACGGUACCACGGCGCAUUAAAAAUAUUCAUAAAACUUAAAGAAAGCUUUCAUAUUUAUUAUCUUUGAGUUUUUUAAUAUAUCAUAUGAAAAAAAUAAAAGUGUAUGUUAUUUUGUUUGUUUCAAAUAGUCAUUUAAAGUCUCCUUGCCAAACGCCAAACCCCCUUAAAAAAAGUAGCCCCACCCAACAAGGCCCCACCCCUCACCACCUGAUUUCCGCAUGGAAAGAAAACAACAAUAACAAUAAAUACACAGAGAGGAAAAAUAUCUUACAGCAAAUUUUUAUAAAAAAAAAACUCGCUUCCCUUGCUUCGAAACAAAAACUUAGAGAGAAUGCCACUGCUGCUGUUGACGGGGCUGCCCUGUUCAGGCAAGAGUUCCAGAGCAAAGCAGUUAAAGGAAAAAUUUAUCGAAUUACAUCCAAACCGUGAAGUCGUAAUAAUUAGUGAAAAUUGAUUCACCAAAUUAAUUAUUUAUUGCUGUUCCUUCGCUUGAGCAUUUUAUUUAUUACCAUCAGAGCCAGAGCGUGGACAUAAGCAAAUGAAAAAGAAAGAUGGCUGCAUCCAGUUCGGGCGAGGGGAAAGAAUGACCCCUCCGACUGAUAUGCCGGCCAAAGGCAUGGGUGCCAAGGCCGAUUAUAUUGUUUUGGAAAAUCGGCAAAAACGUGUCUUAAAUGAAUUAAUAUGAAAUUUUUGCACCUACCGAGGUCUAGUCCAUGAACUGGGCAAGGUAUCCGAGUGGCCGGCAUGCCGAUCAAACCCCUAAAUAGGCUCCAACGGGCGAGAUACGGCGGCCGAGCACUCGAAAAAUCAGCGAGAGCUGUCCGUCGCCGUGUGUGCUGCUGUUUCGUGUGCCUCCUCCUCUCGCCAGUCUCGCCGUCACCCAGCCGCUGCAAGUGCAAUUGAUAUCUCGCGAUUCAAGCAGGGAACUUUUUUGAAUAAUAAUUUUGUU